rnacentral:rRNA from 1 species
UACAUGGGGUGCAAACGUUGCUCGGAAUCAUUGGGCGUAAAGCGCGCGUAGGCGGUUACACAAGUUGGAUGUGAAAGCCCUCGGCUUAACUGAGGAAGUGCAUCCAAAACUGUGCAGCUAGAGUACUAAAGAGGGUCGCGGAAUUCCCGGUGUAGAGGUGAAAUUCGUAGAUAUCGGGAGGAAUACCGAUGGCGAAGGCAGGUCUCUGGGCUGACACUGACGCUCAUGCACGAAAGCGUGGGGAGCAAACAGG